rnacentral:rRNA from 1 species
CUACGGGUGGCAGCAGUGAGGAAUAUUGCACAAUGGGGGGAACCCUGAUGCAGCAACGCCGCGUGGAGGAUGACGCAUUUCGGUGCGUAAACUCCUUUUAUAUGUCAAGAAAAUGACGGUAGCAUAUGAAUAAGCACCGGCUAACUCCGUGCCAGCAGCCGCGGUAAUACGGAGGGUGCAAGCGUUACUCGGAAUCACUGGGCGUAAAGGACGCGUAGGCGGGUUGGAAAGUCAGGUGUGAAAUCCUACAGCUUAACUGUAGAACUGCACUUGAAACUUCUAAUCUAGAGUAUGGGAGGGGGAGAUGGAAUUAGUGGUGUAGGGGUAAAAUCCGUAGAUAUCACUAGGAAUACCUAAAGCGAAGGCGAUCUCCUGGAACAUUACUGACGCUAAGGCGUGAAAGCGUGGGGAGCAAACGGGAUUAGAUACCCCCGUAGUC